GGGGGUGUGGCUCAGUGGUAGAGCACUUGCUUAACAUGUACAAGGACCUGGGUUUGAUCCCCAACACCACAA
rfam:Ictidomys tridecemlineatus contig023203, whole genome shotgun sequence.